rnacentral:tRNA from 1 species
CGGGGUGUAGCACAGCUGGUAGUGCGUAUGGUUCGGGACCAUAAGGCAGGGAGUUCGAGUCUCCCCACUCCGACCA